GCGCAGCAGGCGAGAAACCUCUGCAAUAGGCGAAAGCUUGACAGGGUUACCCUGAGUGAUUUCCGUUAAGGAGAUCUUUUGGCACCUCUAAAAAUGGUGCAGAAUAAGGGGUGGGCAAGUCUGGUGUCAGCCGCCGCGGUAAUACCAGCACCCCGAGUGGUCGGGACGAUUAUUGGGCCUAAAGCAUCCGUAGCCGGUUCUACAAGUCUUCCGUUAAAUCCACCUGCUCAACAGAUGGGCUGCGGAAGAUACUAUGGAGCUAGGAGGCGGGAGAGGCAAGCGGUACUCAGUGGGUAGGGGUAAAAGUACCGUUGAUCCAUUGAAGACCACCAGUGGCGAAGGCGGCUUGCCAGAACGCGCUCGACGGUGAGGGAUGAAAGCUGGGGGAGGCAAACCGGAUUAGAUACCCGUGUAGU
rnacentral:rRNA from 1 species